rfam:Triticum aestivum genome assembly, contig: Triticum_aestivum_CS42_TGACv1_scaffold_063761_1DL
CACGUACUUCCUCCGUCCGGAAAUACUUGUCAUCAAAAUGGAUAAAAGGAGAUGUAUCUAGAAUCUAGAUACAUCUCCUUUUAUCCAUUUUGAUGACAAGUAUUUCCGGACGGAGGGGGUAUAUU